ensembl:lncRNA
UUUUUUUUUUUUUUUUUUUUAGGGGGGCAGGGGACGGAGUCUUGUUCCAGUGUCAGACUGGAGUACAGCGGCACGAUGUUGGCUCACUGCAACGUCUGCCUUCUAGGCUCAAGUGAUUCUCCUGCCUCAGCCUCCCGAGUAGCUGGGACUACAGGUAUGCACCACCACACCCAGCUAAUUUUUGUAUUUUUAGUAGAGACUAGGUUUCACCAUGUUAGCCAGGAUGGUCUCGAUCUCUUGACCUCGUGAUCUGCCAGCCUCGGCCUCCCAAAGUGCUGGGAUUACAGGCAUGAACCACCAUGCCUGGUCAAGAGCACCUUCUUUCAACAUGGUUCCCAAAGUUGGAAUUUGAGACUUUCCUUCCUGUUUCUCUCAUUUUCAAUAGUAGGAGUUAGACUGAGCUUUAAUAGGAUGUGGAAGGAGAAAAACGUGCCCUUAGGCUGGUGUUCUCAAUGACAGGACAGAGAAGAGGAAGUUGCAGGGAUUGAAGGUGGUGUUGAUUCACUUCCCAGCUCUGGUGUCCUUUCACGUAGAAAGCAUGCUGGUGAGUCAGGUCUACCUGGAUACAAGGCUUGGAAGGCAACGAGGUAUACUAGAAUGAGAUGCUUUUAAGCCCAAGGAGUUGGGUUCAAACCCUCAAAUAGUCACGUAAAUCUCUCUGAGCCUCAUGGGGCUGGUAGAAAAUACUCAAGGGAUAGGGUGUUUGUGAGGAUCAAGGAAGUUAAUAUAUGUGGACACUCUCUUUACAUAGUAAAAUAUUAUAAGUUGCUAUUAAAUGAUUAUUGAUAAGAUCACAUAGGUUCUGGAAAGAUACAAAUAGGUGAAAUUUCUUAGGGCAUGCAUCUUCAUUCAGUCCUGCUGUUUCGCCUUCCUUAGUUCUACUACCACCCCCAGACCCUAGGCUGCUGCGUGGGAGCCCCAGCUCAAAAGCAGAAGCCCUAGGGUGCUGGCAUGGGCUUCUCAGAGCCCUGUGGGGCUGCCCGCAGCCACAGCACAGCCAUGAGCAGGGCAGCCAACAGGAAGCCCAGGAGAAAACCACUGUGAGAGGCCACAGAGGGACACAGGGACACCGUCAUCGGCACUGAGCCAGGGCAGGUAUAAGAAACAAGCUGGAAGCCCUCACUUCUGGCCCAAAUGCUUUGGAUAGGCCAGAAUCCCAGAGACAGGAACAUCAGAGAAGCCAGCUUCCCUCUUAUGACCAGGCCCUGGCUUCUUCAUGUCCUUAGGGUGGAGUCUACACACCACUCCCAAAGGCAGGGUCUGUAAUUCUUCCUUUGCCAAGAAGGUGGGGUGGAUGGUACGGGGAUCUUGGGAAAGGUCUCCUUUCUCAGUCUUCAUGGGCUGCACUGUCAAUUUCUCAAUGACCAAACUUUAAUGUUCCAGGCAAUGAGGCUCUUGGCCAUAAGGUGUCCUCAUGUUACAGAAAUGACCUCCUCUGACCCAGUCACUCCCAAACUGUUUCCACUCUUCCUUAAGUGAUAACUUUAACGACAAGUCUCAUGCAUACAGUAAUUUCUUAUCCUUUCUUCCAAGAGUUCAGUUCAGUCCAGCAACUGGCUACUAACUACUUACAGCUGAGCACAGAUUUCAUGCAGAACUGUGUAAAGUUGUCCUCGGGAAGACAAAUACAGCAGCCAGUUCCUGCCACCGAGCAGCACACAGUCUGGGUGUGGAUAGAGACUUCACGUCCCCACCAUGAAUGGCUGUGUUUUAGAGUUCAUUACCCGAAAAGAAACACAGGGUGGGAGGCAUGUGGAGAAUAAAGUGAGCAGGCUGGAUGAGGUCUUCUUCAUGGAAGAGAGACUGGCCC